rnacentral:misc_RNA from 1 species
UACGUAGGGUGCAAGCGUUAUCCGGAAUUAUUGGGCGUAAAGCGUUCGUAGGCGGCUUAGUAAGUUUGUGGUUAAAUCUGAUGGCUCAACCAUCAAAUCGUCACAAAAACUGCUUAGCUAGAGAAUGGCAGGGGCAACCGGAAUUCUGCAAGUAGGGGUAAAAUCCGUUGAUAUGCAGAGGAACACCAAAAGCGAAGGCAGGUUGCUGGGCCAUUUCUGACGCUGAGGAACGAAAGCGUGGGGAGCAAACAGG